UCCUUUUUUUUUGGGUAGGUUUUGAUCGUCAGCUGAUCUUCGAUCUCAUUAUGUAUAUUCGGCGUUUGUAUUCACCUUUGAUUUUUCUGCCGCCUGCUUUUCUAUUUGGCUGAAUCUACGGCCGAUCGAUGAAGAUUUCAUAAUUUUUCUUCUGAUCCCUCGUUUGAAUUUACAUUCGGCUGAUUUUUGUUUGAUUUUCUGCUUAGGUGAAGCUCGGAGAGAUCUGUUUCAGUAAUAAGCUGACUCGGUGCAAUUCGUUCGGGGAUAUCUGCCCAUGGUAAAGAUCUUAUCCAUGCUCUUUGAAAUUGUCAUUCAUCGUCUCAAAAACUGGUGAAACCUCAUUGGUUAAACAACGAGAGAAUUCCAAGGUGCAGUACGCCAUUUGUAUAAAUGAAUCUAUAGGUAUUAUUAUGGUCGUAUGUAAAAAAAGUGUGCGAGUGAUGUUUGAUAGAGAAAAGAAGAGUGAGUGAGCUGAUCGACCUUUACCAUGUUGGGUGCGCUCGCAUGGUAGGUCACCACUUAAUAAAAGCUAUUUUUUGUGUUUAGAGGGGAGAUGGUACGGUGAUUUGUCCGGCUCUCCCCUCUUGUGUGCGGUGUCCUUCCUUUUUUUCUUCUUCUUCUUCUUCUUCUAUACCUCUAUCCCCUUCCCCAUCAUCUAGUUCAGCACUCAUAACUCGGUAAACAGUUUCGGUAUUUGGUGGCUUUGAAUGGUAACAUUUUGAGCCAUUCAUUCAAGACCAAAACAUGAUAUAAAUCCACGCAAAUGAACUCCCUGAGGGCUGGGGCCGACGAAUUCACGUAUAAGGUACAAAUUAGCACUCUGCCUCUUUAUGUUAUUAAUUUUCUACUUAUCUUGUAUUCAAGUUAUUCAAUACUUCGGCAAAACUCCCUAAGGCCUCAGGUACAAAUAUGCACUCUUCAACAUCUCUUACUAUCUAAUAUCUAUCAAUACUAUCAUUAACUUAUCUGAUUUACCAACAGGACUCUGAAAGCACUCAAGAGGCAAUUAAGUUUCAAAUUUUAUCCACCGCUUCUGCGCUCGACGCACAUGAAAUCAUGACAUGUUCAUGCACCAUAACAAUAAGCACAGCAAUUGCAUGGUAUCACUGCUGGCUCAUGCCUGCUACUGCAGUUCCUUCUGGCAUUUGUAUCUUUAUAAUUGUUAAUCAAUUAAAUUCUAUCUAUUGUCUCUUUCUGCAUUCCAAUAAAAAUCAAUGACUUGAUGUGUCUAUCUGUUUGCCUACAAAGUUUACAUUUUGAACAGUAUGGUUUUGGCUAUUUUUGCCUUCCAUUCAAAGUCAAAGACUGAAUGGUUGUGUUUGGUUUUCUACAAGGUCGUACAUUUUGAACAGUAUGGUUUUGGCCAUCUUAAGCUAUUAUUUUUUUUAUUAAGGCUGUUGUUGUGGUUUGAUCUGUUGGUUUACCUCUAUCAGUUUUUUAUUUGGAUGGAGUAAAUAGCUUUGAGUUAGUGCCCAUGUAAGGGAAUUUCUUAUGUUGUCGAGGCACGGCUUUGUACUUUUGUAAUGUAAUAGCUAUUGUGAACCAUAUUUCUUUUGAGGUUUUGCUGUUGUUUCUUAGAGAAGGGUGCAAAUGAAGUUAAAUGAGAAUUAGUUUCCUGGACUGAUUCCAUAGUUGGAUAUUGGAAUAUGCUGCUACUGCUGAGCAAGCUUCUGAUGUUAAAUGAACCAUCUCAAGGGUUGUUUGUGUUCGAGUUUAUGUGCUGCCCAUUGAAUGGAUGAUAUAUCAAGUGUGACUUAUUGUAUAUUUCCAAGGUCAUGAAUGUUCCAUAGUUUGAAGAUUUUUCUUCCAUUAACAAUUGCUCUAGACUGUGAGGCUGUUCGAAAACUCGAGUCUUGAUUAAUUGAGUUCUGAACAUACCAUUGUUAGCUCUUUUGGCUGAACUGGUUCUUUAAAUCUAUUAAACAUCUAGCCGGUGUUAAGCUUUCAUCUUGUUUCUGCUUCUCUGUAAACACUGUUCAGCUGGCAAAGUGUGACAUUUGAUGAUGAUAGCAGUUGCUGGGCUUGAGAAUACUGCAAUGCCCUUUGCUCCACCCCAUUGGUAUUGUGUUAAAUGAACUCAGUAUUUUUUUUAAUUCAUCUUAUUGCCAUUGGUAUUUGUUAAAUGAAUUCUAUGUUCUAUUUUAUUCAUCUUAUUGCCAUCUUUGCUUAUAGUACAUUAAGUAUCCAACAAUGCAGUAUCUCAAUGUACUUGGUUUAAUUUGGUAGCUGUAAUUUCCAUUUGGUUCUUUUUGUAUUGAAUUUGGUAAUGUUUCCUAAUUAAGGUUGAUAAAGUUUUGGAAGUAUUUUAUGCUUUCGCUUGCUGUGAUUAUAUGCGUUAUGGGUGCAGUAGUGAAGUAAUAGUGCCAGAAGUAGUGAGAACCAGUUGCUAUAUUAAUUCAUUUUGAAAUACAGCAGGAUGUGUAGAGGAAUCUUAAAAUGGGAAAUGAAGAUGCAAAUUGUCAUUCAAGAAGAUUGAAGGGUAAAAUAUGGACAAAUGGGAAAUUAAGGCUGAGCUCCAUUUCUGGACUACUAGAGUAUUCGAUGUGAGAGCUGCUCUUUGUGAAGAAAUCUAUCCGAAGGAGCCUCUUGAAGACAAGGACCAUACAUAAAGUGAACUGCUCUUGAAGACAAGAACCAUACAUAAAGUGAACUGAAACUGAUGCUGAAUUGCUGAUAGAGAGGUACAAGAGUCUAGACAUCAAUUUUUUUUUCUCUAUAUGUACUAAAUCUGAUGUUCAUUAAUAUGUUUAUUUAUUUUUUGAAUAA